UCUUUUUAGAGAAGGUGUGUGGAUAAAAAUAAAAAGCAUGGCGGUCCUUGAUCUCGUCAGAGAAACAUGUAUUUAUAAACGAAUUUGCACGAUAAUCUGUCCUAAUUUUGAAUAUGUAUUUUGUACACCGCUGUCUGAAAGAAAUUAUAAAAGUAUUUUCUUUCUUCUUUUAAAGAACUAAGGCAAGUUAAGGUGCAGAUGAUGGUUAGGGUAAUAUGUGUUUCAAUAAUAAUUAUAGCCUAAAAUUGAAAAAUUUAAGGAAAAGAGAAUUUGAUAGUAAGACUGGUUAAUUAUAUUAGUCUGAAGAAGGGCUAUAGAGGGUGU
rnacentral:rRNA from 1 species